CGCGCUGGACCGUGUACAAGUCUCCUGGAAGGGAGCGUCAUAGAGGGUGAGAAUCCCGUCUCUGACACGGACGACCAGUGCUGUGUGAUGCGCUCUCGACGAGUCGAGUUGUUUGGGAAUGCAGCUCUAAUUGGGUGGUAAAUUCCAUCUAAAGCUAAAUACAGGCGAGAGACCGAUAGCGAACAAGUACCGUGAGGGAAAGAUGAAAAGAACUUUGGAAAGAGAGUUAAACAGUACGUGAAAUUGCUGAAAGGGAAACGCUUGAUGUCAGUCGCGUCUGCUGGGGAUCAACCUUGCGUUUGCUGGGUGUACUUCCUGGUCGACGGGUCAGCAUCAGUUUUCGUCGUCAUACAAGGGCGAACGGAACGUGGCACUCUUCGGGGUGUGUUAUAGCCUUUCGUCGUAUGUGACGGUGGGGACUGAGGAACUCAGCACGGGCGACCUGUGCUUAGGAUGCUGGCAUAAUGGCCUUAAGCGACCCGUCUUGAAACACGGACCAAGGAGUCUAACAUGCGUGCGAGUGUUUGGGUGGUAAACUCGAGCGCGAAAUGAAAGUGAAAGUUGAGACCUCUUCCGAGGGCAUCGACGCCCCGGACCUUGAGUCUUUUGACGACGGGCUCUGCCGGUAGAGCAUAGCAUGUUKGGGACCCCGAAAGAUGGGUGGAACUAUUGCCUUGAAUARGGGCGAAGCCCAGAAGGAAACU
rnacentral:rRNA from 1 species